rnacentral:lncRNA from 1 species
CAGGUGAUCCACCCGCCUCGGCCUCCCAAAGUGUUGGGAUUACAGGCUUGGGCCAGCGCGCCCAGCGCCCCAUGGGUUUCUUCACCAGACAGGCAGGGACCUGGUCACUUGGCCUUUCACUGUGGUUCCUCUGUUUUCUCCUGUCUGCUGCUGGGGGCACCUGCCUCACCUACAGCAUCCUCAGCAAGGAGCCAGGGUCUUCCUGUUUCGCUGUGGAUGGAGAGCCAGGGUCCUCUGGUUUAGCUAUGGAUAGCCACUAAGACUCGCCCCUGCCUCUGAGGCCAUGGGCCCUGGGUCCACAGCCUCUUCAAGGAGCUCCCAGUUCCCGCUGUGGGCAUUAGCUGCCCCCUCCAACUCCUGGUCUUCUCUGUGGGUGCCCACACUUGGGACUCUUCGUUUCCUCGUUGACCUGAAUCCCGGCAUUAGCACCAGCUUCCUGCCACUGGCUGACUGAAUGCCCAGCCCAGCCUCAGUCCCUCUCCUCUCCCAUGCUCUGGGGCUUCCCUAUCCCACCAUUCCCCUCCCGUGCCUGUGCUCCACUCUGAAACCCCUUCUCUUCCAUCCCACUCUAUCUGAGACCCCUCGACCUAUGUUCAGCUCUCCCCCAAGCCGCUGCACAUCCCCUGCCAUACCUACUCAGUCUUCAGCCUCUUUCUCCUGUCUCUCCCCUGCCAGCAAUUAAACAUGCCAAGUUUUGGCCGGGUGUGCCGGCCCGCACUCAAGACAUUCUUAAAAGAUGCUCUCCACUCACUCUCUCAGUUGCUGAUCUCCUGUAAUCUGGCUUCUCUCCCCAUGAGCCACUGAAGCUGCUCUUCCUGGUAUCACCAACAAUCCCUUUGCCAAGAAAUCCCAUGGAUCCCUCUCAGGCUUUAUCUGAUUUGACUUCUGUGCAGCUUUACAUGCCAGAGCCCUUCCUGGAACACUCACUCCCCCAGUCCUCUCCUUGGGGUGCUGCACCCUCUCUUCUAGCUGCUUGGUCACUCUCCUGCCCUCCUGGGCUCUAACGUUCUGGGCAGCCUGUCCUGUGGGGAGAGAGGAGCUUCCUCUUCUCACACUUCUGUAUUGUGGCUACCUCAACACCUAUCUCCGCCCCAGGAUCUUCCUUGGAGCGCUAGUCCUACUGCACUUCUCCACUUCAAUGUCUCCAGGUUCCCUUCCUGCACAGCCCCCUACUCCCACCGUGUUCUCUGAUUUCUGUGGAUGGAACCACCAUCCAUCUUGGUUCCAGAGCCCACAUCCCUGUCUCGAUUCUGCUUGACCUAUUGGGUCCGUUCCAUGUCCCGGGGACUCUCUCUUCCUGACACCACUGCAAUGUGUCCACUUCUAUCUUCUGCCACCACUUCAGCUCAGAUCGGUAGCAUCUGCUGCCUGUCCUGUGCAUCUCAUGGCAUUAUUCCUGCUGUCCUGCAGACCAGUGCGGUUUUGCUAGCUUAGGAACAUGACUGUGUCACCCCUACAGUUCCGACAACCCUUCAUUUCAAGCCCAUCUGCCUUGCUGUGGUUACUCAGGCUCUUUGGACUGGGCCUGGCUUCCUGCCUCUCUUCUCCUCCCCUCUUGCCCCAGUGUACUCCUCAGCUUGGCCACCCUGAGCUGCUUUCCACUUUUCACACAAACCAAAUCAUCUUUUUCCUCUGCGCUGACUGCUCCUUCUUCCUCGGUGCCUGACUAGCCCUCACGCAUCCUUCCGUGACUCAGCUUACACUCUUUUCUUCCAGAAACCUCUGCCUGGGCCCCAAGGUUGGGUGAGAUAAGGCUCGAUGCCCCUUAUCAGUGCUCCUGUGACAUAUGCUACUUUCCCCAGCAGCAGGUGUUUGCUGGCACUGUCAUUGCCCGUUAGCUGCUUCUGCUACAGUGUGAACUCUGCCAGGAUGGAAAUAUGGCUGCUGGGUUCACAGCUGGAUCCCCAGCACCAGACUGUGCCAAGAAUAGAAUAUGUGCUUAAAAGAUGGUCAGAGAAUUCAGCAACGUUCCCUGAGGGUCAUACAGUCUAGAAAUACACACAAGACCCAGACUAGAUGCACAUAUAGAUAGCCCUGGAAAAAUAAGAAAGGUUAAAACGGAUAAUAAGGCUAUUUGGUGGCUACGACGAGUUUAUUAGAGAGGGCAACCGGAGCCCCCAGCCCCACUCACGGACGUUCUCUCAAAUCCACCUCUGAAGGUGCAUGAGAUAAAGGAGAGCUAUUUACUGCACCUAGACGCCAGGCAAUGAAAACGGGGUGAGGGUCGAGGGCAGGGAUCUGAGGAGCCACAUCAGGCCAGCCUUACCUUCAUGUUGUCAGGGGGGUCUCCUUGGCCUGUAGUUGCACAAACAAAUAUCACCAGGGGCUCGUUAAUCAGAUUCACCUCAACAAAAAGACACACACACGUAAGACCUCCGGCUGUAAGGACCGGGCGUCCUUCCCAAAACUUGACCCCCUUCUCCUUUACUCAGGCUGACAGGGCAGAGGGAUUUAUGUGAGCAGCCAGACCGUCUUCUCUUUCAGGUUCCAACCUCCUCCAGGUGCUAAACUGAACUCCCCUUCCCAAACCUCCUUCCCUAAAUCCGCCAUAAGGGAAAGACCCGCUCUCAGAGAAAAUGCGACGCCUUUUGGGUCGAUGACCCCGCGAGGCGGGCACGC